GCACUGCUGAGGAGUCCCAGACUAGGAUGAGACGGUCGUCCAGUGC
rfam:Schistosoma mattheei strain Denwood, Zambia genome assembly, scaffold: SMTD_scaffold0015021